CCUACGGGAGGCAGCAGUGGGGAAUAUUGGACAAUGGGCGAAAGCCUGAUCCAGCCAUGCCGCGUGUGUGAAGAAGGUCUUCGGAUUGUAAAGCACUUUAAGUUGGGAGGAAGGGUUGUAGAUUAAUACUCUGCAAUUUUGACGUUACCGACAGAAUAAGCACCGGCUAACUCUGUGCCAGCAGCCGCGGUAAUACAGAGGGUGCAAGCGUUAAUCGGAAUUACUGGGCGUAAAGCGCGCGUAGGUGGUUUGUUAAGUUGGAUGUGAAAUCCCCGGGCUCAACCUGGGAACUGCAUUCAAAACUGACUGACUAGAGUAUGGUAGAGGGUGGUGGAAUUUCCUGUGUAGCGGUGAAAUGCGUAGAUAUAGGAAGGAACACCAGUGGCGAAGGCGACCACCUGGACUAAUACUGACACUGAGGUGCGAAAGCGUGGGGAGCAAAACAGGAUUUAGAUACCCUGGUAGUCCACGCCGUAAACGAUGUCAACUAGCCGUUGGAAGCCUUGAGNUUAGUGNGCNGCACGACAUAGUUAGACGCGNGGAGGUAACGGCGCGAGUUAAAGUANAAUUAGAGUUGAGGCGNGAGACCGACGACGACGACGAGGAGAGG
rnacentral:rRNA from 1 species